UGUCAUCCACGUUACCUUGAUUGUACAUUUUACAACUUUCCACCUUUAUUUUCAAACCCUUGUCGGAGCACGAUCCGUUUUGUUAAUGAAGCAGUUGUAGGCCAGAAAGAAAGAACACUUUCUAACUGAGAAGGGUUUCCGCCUCAUCCUUUUGGCAGUCACAAUCUCACAAUGGGGGCUGGUCCGGGAAACAUUUUUAAAAACGAACCAGGAAUGUGAUAGGCCAGAAGUUGAGUAAUGCUCCUUCCCCCUGGAGAUCUAGACAACAGAAAACCAGUACCUCCCCCUUCAAUACAGUCUUUUCUUUCCAAAUUUGAAAUGUAGUACUUGUACGGCUUUGUCAUUUCAUUAAAUUUUGAUUGUCAGUGGUCACUUUUGAUGUCAACCAAACUACCCCUACUACCCAUGCUACCACCCAGUGUCACAAAUCGAUCGAUCUGGACGACAGAAUUGCUACAAAUACCCCAGUGCAAUGCUCAGAAUUGAGCGAAUAAAGUUGACAUAAGGUAAAAGCCAGAACGUCGCGGUGGCAAAUAAUUUAAGGGAAGAUAUAGGACGGCUUCUUUCAAAAAAGGAAAAAUUCAUUUUUUACCAGUCAGCCAUCUGGAAAUGCCACUGAAGGAUUUAAAACAAGCAAAGCAUAUUCUGACAAUUUGAUAGAGACAUUCCUUUUCUUUGGUCAACGUAAUACCGUAUCUUACUCUAGCCCAGUGUUGGUAUCGGAUGAAAUUUAGCUGGCAGCAUUUUCGUUUUCGUGAAAUCUACUGAAUAAGCACUGAAUACCCAUUCCACAUGUUGACAAGGCCAGGAAUCAAUCCUGGGCCGCAAAAGUAAAAGCGGAGGAAGACACUUUGUGUUAUUGUAUAACGUGCACG